GUCGUAAACUUUAAUUUACUCCACUCUCGCCUGGGAACUACGAGCUAAGCUUAAAACCCAAAGGACUUGACGGUACCCCAUAUCCCCCUAGAGGAGCCUGUCCUAUAACCGAUAAUCCCCGUUUAACCUCACCAUUUCUAGCUAAGACAGCCUGUAUACCUCCGUCGUCAGCUCACCGCGUGAGCGUCAGUGAGCCUAAUGUUAAUUCAACUUCACGUCAGGUCAAGGUGCAACAUAUGUAAUGGGAAGAGAUGGGCUACACUCUCUAACUUAGAAUAUACGAAAGACUACUUAUGAAAUCUAGUCAAAAGGUGGAUUUAGAAGUAAAACGGAACAAGAGAGUCCUUUUUAACAUGGCAC
rnacentral:rRNA from 1 species